AGAGUAACUUGUGCUGCAGAGCCGACCCUCCACAAAGCACUGGGCAUUCUUAUGAGCGAUGGAGGAAAUCUAUGUAAAUGCUGAAUAUGACAGAUCUGUUGACUCAAAACCAGACAGGUAUCAGACUGAUUCCCGGAGCUCAGUGAGGAGAUUUCAUAGUGCUGUUCUCUGUCUGGGGCUGCUGAGUGUUUUCCUGCUGGCUGGAGUCAUCUGCUUUGGUGUCCUCUACCAUCACUCAGCCGCAGAUUUCC